rnacentral:rRNA from 1 species
UCGGAACCGCAUUUGAAACUGGCAGGCUAGAGUCUUGUAGAGGGGGGUGGAAUUUCAGGUGUAGCGGUGAAAUGCGUAGAGAUCUGAAGGAAUACCAGUGGCGAAGGCGGCCCCCUGGACAAAGACUGACGCUCAGAUGCGAAAGCGUGGGUAGCAAACAGGAUUAGAUACCCUGGUAGUCCACGCCGUAAACGCUGUCUACUUGGAGGUUGAGGUUUAGACUUUGGCUUUCGGCGCUAACGCAUUAAGUAGACCGCCUGGGGAGUACGGCCGCAAGGUUAAAACUCAAAUGAAUUGACGGGGGCCCGCACAAGCGGUGGAGCAUGUGGUUUAAUUCGAUGCAACGCGAAGAACCUUACCUACUCUUGACAUCCAGCGAAUCCUUUAGAGAUAGAGGAGUGCCUUCGGGAGCGCUGAGACAGGUGCUGCAUGGCUGUCGUCAGCUCGUGUUGUGAAAUGUUGGGUUAAGUCCCGCAACGAGCGCAACCCUUAUCCUUGUUUGCCAGCACAUAAUGGUGGGAACUCCAGGGAGACUGCCGGUGAUAAACCGGAGGAAGGCGGGGACGACGUCAAGUCAUCAUGGCCCUUACGAGUAGGGCUACACACGUGCUACAAUGGCAGAUACAGAGGGCAGCGAAGCUGCGAAGUGGAGCGAAUCCCUUAAAGCCUGUCGUAGUCCGGAUUGGAGUCUGCAACUCGACUCCAUGAAGUCGGAAUCGCUAGUAAUCGUGGAUCAGAAUGCCACGGUGAAUACGUUCCCGGGCCUUGCACACACCGCCCGU